CACAAGCUCAAGCAAAACUGAGAGUAGAGAGAGAGAUUUUAAUGAAGUUUCCCAAUGUGUCCGUCUGCCUGUCUGUCUGGCGAUGGCUGUGUGUGUGGUUGUGAGAGCAGCUGGUAGUAUUGAAGGGGCGUUUGCUUGCCAGCGAAGGUCAAGGGGCACUCUCCCAUGGCAUGCUCCUCCCCCUCCCCGGAACAGACAGAUGGACGGAGAGACAGGCAGGCGGACAGACGUCUCUCUCAGGUGUGUUCAGUAGGGAGGUAAAAACUUGGCCUGGGCAUGAAGAUCCAGGUAAUCAUGAAAUAUUCUCUCCCCCACGCUGUGACUCAGCAGACUCUGAACGCUGCUCUCUCAGACACACACAUGUUGGUGACGACCCCGAUACAAUAUCAUAUGUAUAGGGGACAGGGAUACUGUAGUGAUGGAGGUAGAUAUGUAUAGGGGGAAGGGGACAGGGAUACUGGAGUGAUGGAGGUAGAUAUGUAUAGGGGACAGGGAUACUGGAGUGAUGGAGGUAGAUAUGUAUAGGGGACAGGGAUACUGUAGUGAUGGAGGUAGAUAUGUAUAGGGGACAGGGAUACUGGAGUGAUGGAGGUAGAUAUGUAUAGGGGACAGGGAUACUGGAGUGAUGGAGGUAGAUAUGUAUAGGGGACAGGGAUACUGGAGUGAUGGAGGUAGAUAUGUAUAGGGGACAGGGAUACUGUAGUGAUGGAGGUAGAUAUGUAUAGGGGACAGGGAUACUGGAGUGAUGGAGGUAGAUAUGUAUAGGGGACAGGGAUACUGUAGUGAUGGAGGUAGAUAUGUAUAGGGGACAGGGAUACUGGAGUGAUGGAGGUAGAUAUGUAUAGGGGACAGGGAUACUGUAGUGAUGGAGGUAGAUAUGUAUAGGGGACAGGGAUACUGGAGUGAUGGAGGUAGAUAUGUAUAGGGGACAGGGAUACUGGAGUGAUGGAGGUAGAUAUGUAUAGGGGACAGGGAUACUGGAGUGAUGGAGGUAGAUAUGUAUAGGGGACAGGGAUACUGGAGUGAUGGAGGUAGAUAUGUAUAGGGGACAGGGAUACUGGAGUGAUGGAGGUAGAUAUGUAUAGGGGACAGGGAUACUGGAGUGAUGGAGGUAGAUAUGUAUAGGGGACAGGGAUACUGUAGUGAUGGAGGUAGAUAUGUAUAGGGGACAGGGAUACUGGAGUGAUGGAGGUAGAUAUGUAUAGGGGACAGGGAUACUGUAGUGAUGGAGGUAGAUAUGUAUAGGGGACAGGGAUACUGGAGUGAUGGAGGUAGAUAUGUAUAGGGGACAGGGAUACUGGAGUGAUGGAGGUAGAUAUGUAUAGGGGGAAGGGGACAGGGAUACUGGAGUGAUGGAGGUAGAUAUGUAUAGGGGACAGGGAUACUGGAGUGAUGGAGGUAGAUAUGUAUAGGGGACAGGGAUACUGGAGUGAUGGAGGUAGAUAUGUAUAGGGGACAGGGAUACUGGAGUGAUGGAGGUAGAUAUGUAUAGGGGACAGGGAUACUGGAGUGAUGGAGGUAGAUAUGUAUAGGGGACAGGGAUACUGGAGUGAUGGAGGUAGAUAUGUAUAGGGGACAGGGAUACUGGAGUGAUGGAGGUAGAUAUGUAUAGGAGACAGGGAUACUGGAGUGAUGGAGGUAGAUAUGUAUAGGGGACAGGGAUACUGGAGUGAUGGAGGUAGAUAUGUAUAGGGGACAGGGAUACUGGAGUGAUGGAGGUAGAUAUGUAUAGGGGACAGGGAUACUGGAGUGAUGGAGGUAGAUAUGUAUAGGGGACAGGGAUACUGGAGUGAUGGAGGUAGAUAUGUAUAGGGGACAGGGAUACUGGAGUGAUGGAGGUAGAUAUGUAUAGGGGACAGGGAUACUGGAGUGAUGGAGGUAGAUAUGUAUAGGGGACAGGGAUACUGGAGUGAUGGAGGUAGAUAUGUAUAGGGGACAGGGAUACUGGAGUGAUGGAGGUAGAUAUGUAUAGGGGACAGGGAUACUGGAGUGAUGGAGGUAGAUAUGUAUAGGGGACAGGGAUACUGGAGUGAUGGAGGUAGAUAUGUAUAGGGGGAAGGGGACAGGGAUACUGGAGUGAUGGAGGUAGAUAUGUAUAGGGGGAAGGAGACAGGGAUACUGGAGUGAUGGAGGUAGAUAUGUAUAGGGGACAGGGAUACUGUAGUGAUGGAGGUAGAUAUGUAUAGGGGGAAGGGGACAGGGAUACUGGAGUGAUGGAGGUAGAUAUGUAUAGGGGACAGGGAUACUGGAGUGAUGGAGGUAGAUAUGUAUAGGGGACAGGGAUACUGUAGUGAUGGAGGUAGAUAUGUAUAGGGGACAGGGAUACUGUAGUGAUGGAGGUAGAUAUGUAUAGGGGACAGGGAUACUGGAGUGAUGGCUAUUUAUCCAUCGUAUUGCUUGGAAAUAGAAACUGGUCCUGAGCCUGUUGGUGUCAGACAUGAUGCACCGGUAACUCUUGCCAUAUGACAGCAGAGACAAUUGUCUAUGGCUUGGGUGGGUGUCUAUUGUGACGACCCUCCCACUCUGUCUGCCGUAUUCUCUCUGUUAUUUCCUUAUUAGGAUGCCGGUGGGCGGAGUUGGGAGGGUCGUCAGCUACAUGGGAAACACCUGGGCCAGGUUUCUCCCAGGAUAAAUACACCACUUCCCCAUUCAUGGAGGAGACUCUCUCCAUGC